rnacentral:rRNA from 1 species
GCCCUAGUAACGGCGAGUGAAGCGGCAACAGCUCAAAUUUGAAAUCUGGCUCUCGGGCCCGAGUUGUAAUUUGUAGAGGAUACUUUUGAUGCGGUGCCUUCCGAGUUCCCUGGAACGGGACGCCAUAGAGGGUGAGAGCCCCGUCUGGUUGGAUGCCAAAUCUCUGUAAAGUUCCUUCAACGAGUCGAGUAGUUUGGGAAUGCUGCUCUAAAUGGGAGGUAUAUGUCUUCUAAAGCUAAAUACCGGCCAGAGACCGAUAGCGCACAAGUAGAGUGAUCGAAAGAUGAAAAGCACUUUGAAAAGAGAGUUAAAAAGUACGUGAAAUUGUUGAAAGGGAAGCGUUUAUGACCAGACUUGGGCUUGGUUAAUCAUCUGGGGUUCUCCCCAGUGCACUUUUCCAGCUCAGGCCAGCAUCAGUUUUCCCCGGGGGAUAAAGGCGGAGGGAAUGUGGCUCUCUUCGGGGAGUGUUAUAGCCCACCGUGUAAUACCCUGGGGGGGACUGAGGUUCGCGCAUCUGCAAGGAUGCUGGCGUAAUGGUCAUCAACGACCCGUCUUGAAACACGGACCAAGGAGUCGUCUUCGUAUGCGAGUGUUCGGGUGUCAAACCCCUACGCGUAAUUAAAGUGAACGCAGGUGAGAGCUUCGGCGCAUCAUCGACCGAUCCUGAUGUUCUCGGAUGGAUUUGAGUAAGAGCAUACGGGGCCGGACCCGAAAGAAGGUGAACUAUGCCUGUAUAGGGUGAAGCCAGAGGAAACUCUGGUGGAGGCUCGCAGCGGUUCUGACGUGCAAAUCGAUCGUCAAAUAUGGGCAUGGGGGCGAAAGACUAAUCGAACCUUCUAGUAGCUGGUUUCCGCCGAAGUUUCCCUCAGGAUAGCAGUGUUGAACUCAGUUUUAUGAGGUAAAGCGAAUGA